UACGUAGGGGGCGAGCGUUGUCCGGAAUCAUUGGGCGUAAAGCGCGUGUAGGCGGCUCGAUAAGUCCGGUGUGAAACCUUGGGGCUCAACCCCAAGCCUGCACUGGAUACUGCCGAGCUAGAGUCCGGGAGGGGAGAGCGGAAUUCCUAGUGUAGCGGUGAAAUGCGCAGAUAUUAGGAAGAACACCGGUGGCGAAGGCAGGUCUCUGGGCAUUAACUGACGCUGAGGAGCGAAAGCAUGGGGAGCGAACAGG
rnacentral:rRNA from 1 species